GUCGAGGAUCAAUGCCGGGUAAUUCAGUGAGCGUUCCAACAAAGAAUCAAGGAAAAAACUGCCAGGCAAAGGAAAGAAACCUUCUGGCAACAGGUCUUCAACGUUACGCGUAGAGUCCUUUGGAACAGGAGUUGUUUCUGUGUCAACAACUUGAAGAUCAAUUCAGGCAACGGCUACUAAAGAAAAACGAGUCACAUAACAUGGAGAGCAAAGAAGAGAAGAGAGAGGAAACAGAGAGGUGCCAGCACUGCCACCCGGGUGGGCAGCAGGCUGCUGGUGCCAGCGUCAUCAUGGGCGGCGGCCAGCACUGGCCACGCUGUCACCGCGUCGCCGUGGCGACGUUUGUGACACGGCCACCCGGGAGGGGUAUGAAGGCGGUGCACGCUGGUGGGUCCUGCAUCCUGAAGGAGCAUCUGGUAGAGAGCAGACGCACCUGAAGGGAUGAGCUCCGGCAUGGCUGGCGCCAACAAGGAGCAACCCGCUGGCACGAGGCGGAACAGGAUGAGCUUCUGCGAGGAUGGCCCCGCAGCGAGGCGUGCCUCCAUACCCACCUGCACCGACACCGAAGGUACACGGCUCCACAGCCACCACAGGAGCGCUGCUGCAGCCAAUCCUGGCACGCAGACGACACUUUCCAUCUGCCACCUCACUCCCGCCUGGCAGCGGGAGGGCUGCCGGGAAGCGGCAGGUGCAGAGUGUGACCCGCUUUUCCUUUGCCCUCCAGAGCGAGUUGCCGUCUGGGAUGCGGUGGCCGCCUACGUACAAGAGCACCUCCUGGUGCAGAAGGGGGUCUGGAUUCCCACCUUCGGAUCCUUUGACACCAUCUCCAGAGACAUCAGGACUGAGGACGGGACCGUGACUCUGCGGUGGCCCGUCUUUCACUUGUCUGGAAACCUCAUAGCCGUGCACCACCUCAAGCCCCGCAGGGAGUCCCUGCCAGCCCAUAGGAAGCUGGAGCCGCUCAAGAGCAGCGAGGUGGCCGCAGCUGCCUCUGUGACCUGGCAGACAGCGCAGGCUUGCAUCCAAAGCACCGUGUCCCUGCUCUCUG
ensembl:lncRNA